GGGGCGGUAGCUCAGCUGGGAGAGCACCUGGUUUGCAACCAGGGGGUCGUGGGUUCGAAUCCCAUCCGCUCCAUCA
rnacentral:tRNA from 2 species